rnacentral:rRNA from 1 species
CCUACGGGAGGCAGCAGUGAGGAAUAUUGGUCAAUGGGCGCGAGCCUGAACCAGCCAAGCCGCGUGAGGGAUGACGGUCCUAUGGAUGGUAAACCUCUUUUGUCGGGGAGCAAAAGACGCCACGCGUGGCGUUCCGAGCGUACCCGUCGAAAAAGCAUCGGCUAACUCCGUGCCAGCAGCCGCGGUAAUACGGAGGAUGCGAGCGUUAUCCGGAUUUAUGGGGGUUAAAGGGUGCGCAGGCGGAAAAUCAAGUCAGCGGUAAAAUUGAGAGGCUCAACCUCUUCGAGCCGUUGAAACUGGUGUUCUUGAGUGAGCGAGAAGUAGGCGGAAUGCGUGGUGUAGCGGUGAAAUGCAUAGAUAUCACGCAGAACUCCGAUUGUGAAGGCAGCAUACCGGAGCUCAACUGACGCUCAUGCACGAAAGUGUGGGUAUCGAACAGGAUUAGAUACCCGAGUAGUC